rnacentral:lncRNA from 1 species
UCUAAUUCCUAAUAUUUUUGGAGCAACGUACCCCUUUUCAGUGAACUCAAAUUUUGUAAGUCAGCAAGAACUAUUGGUGCAGGUGUGAUUUUCAUGACUCUACUUUACUGAACUGCAGUGAGGAGAACUGAUUUUCCUAUAGUGUUUCCGUCAUGGGGAAAAACAAAUCGUGACAGACAAUAAGGAAGAAAUGCUUCAUGCUUAAUUUCACUUUCACAUACCAGGAAUUUUACCAUUGAGAAGACAGGCUUGCUUUCUUUUAUAUAUUUUAAAAUACUUCUAUAAAUUAAACAUGUAUGGAAGACAACAAUCAAUUUUCCUGUACAUGAUAGCUUAUGAAUCAAAAAAAUCCACCACACACACACAUGAUAUCGCUCUUCUUUCACGUGUGCAGACGCACAACCGUUGCACUUCCCUUGCACAUCUUUUACAACAUUUUUUAUAUCAUAAUAUGUUAGAAUUAGGAUGUGACCCGAAUUCCAUUUGGAAGACUAUUUGGGAAUUUUAAUUGAAGUCUAUUUGGGAAUUCAAUUCAGGAGUUCAAUUGAGAGUUUGAAAUUUGUUUUGGACUUGAAGAAGAAUUGAAGCAGUCCAAGUUGUAAUAGAAGAGGAAGAAAUCGUGCAAGGAGAAGGAAACGCCAAACUGGCACUCGCUAUGCACCUUGGUCUCACUAGAGCGCUCAAAAUAGGAGCUCCAGUGCUCAAUGUCUGUGAGGCAGCACUCAAGUGAUUGGCCACCGCCCGAUAGUAGUGAGACCACUCCUCGAGCCUCGGUCUUAUCCGGAUUUGGAACAGUUCUCAAAGUUGGCAAUUUUUUAAAUCCUAUUUUAUUCCAAAUAUUUCACUAUUGUAUACUUAUUAUAGUUGAAAUCCAC